GUAGGUGAACCUGCGGAAGGAUCAUUGUCGAAACCUGCUCUAAGCAGACAGACCCGCGAACCCGUUUCUAACCAAGCGCUCCCGGGACGCGCCCUCCUCCCCUCGGGCUGGGGGCUGCCUCUCGGAAGCGCGACCAACCAAACCCCGGCGCGGAUUGCGCCAAGGACUAUGAACAUCAGCGCGCCCCGCGAGUCCCGGUCUUCCG
rnacentral:misc_RNA from 1 species